rnacentral:rRNA from 1 species
GACGAACGCUGGCGGCGUGCCUAAUACAUGCAAGUAGGACGCACUGUUUAUACCGUAGCUUGCUACACCAUAGACUGUGAGUUGCGAACGGGUGAGUAGCGCGUAGGUAACCUGCCUAUUAGAGGGGGAUAACUAUUGGAAACGAUAGCUAAUACCGCAUAACAGUAUGUAACACAUGUUAGAUGCUUGAAAGAUGCAAUUGCAUCGCUAGUAGAUGGACCUGCGUUGUAUUAGCUAGUAGGUAGGGUAAAGGCCUACCUAGGCAACGAUACAUAGCCGACCUGAGAGGGUGAUCGGCCACACUGGGACUGAGACACGGCCCAGACUCCUACGGGAGGCAGCAGUAGGGAAUCUUCGGCAAUGGGGGGAACCCUGACCGAGCAACGCCGCGUGAGUGAAGAAGGUUUUCGGAUCGUAAAGCUCUGUUGUUAAGGAAGAACGAGUGUGAGAAUGGAAAGU